ensembl:misc_RNA
UAUGUGACAAUAAUUCUGCCUCUCAUCGGCUUGUUUCUACUGAUGAAGCUAGGAGGUUUCAGAAGC